AACGAACGCUGGCGGCAUGCCUAACACAUGCAAGUCGAACGAGACCUUCGGGUCUAGUGGCGCACGGGUGCGUAACGCGUGGGAACCUGCCUUAGGUUCGGAAUAACUCAGAGAAAUUUGGAGCCUAAUACCGGAUAAUGUCUUCGGACCAAAGAUUUAUCGCCUUUAGAUGGGCCCGCGUUGGAUUAGCUAGUUGGUGGGGUAAAGGCCUACCAAGGCGACGAUCCAUAGCUGGUCUGAGAGGAUGAUCAGCCACACUGGG
rnacentral:rRNA from 1 species